CUCUCUUAAUAGUUUUACUCUCAGCUAAACACGGUUACUUUAUAACCUCUUGUUUUCGGCAGUUUUACCCAGGGCUUUAAAAGCAAAGCUAACCUUCACAUCGGUUUCCAGACAUCCUGUGGGACCCUGAAUGUCAUGCAUCUCGUUUGCGCCGGCUGAAUGGACCGGAGUUUGGGGCAAGCAAUGCUGGACAAUUAAAAUGCACACAUUUCCCAGCGUGUGAAACCACCCACCUGGAAACAUGCGAGGGCAACAGCUGGUCAGACAUCUCAUGCUGUUUAAUUACCGCUGACAUCCCCGUGGCUCUUAAUAAAGGUACAUGGAAAUGACAUGAAAAGAAUUAGCAGUAUUACAGCAGCGUUCGUGCUUGACAGCUGGGAAAUCAGGUUAUAGAGGUGGACAACAUGAAAUAAGUUUUGCAUUGCAGGAUUUUAUGAUACACUCUCAGAAAAAA